AUGUGUUCUUGCUUCACAGCAGUUUUGUCAUGGGAAUUUAUGAUAAGGAGUCAAGGACGUUAACAAAUAACAGGGGGAGUUUAGCAUAAACUCGUUCUUAUAAGAAGCGUUGAGAAUUUCUAGUACUCAAAGAUUAUUAAUCUUUUAUUGAAUUAACUACUCGUAGUGUCUUAAAAAACUUCCACUCUAAUAUUUUCUGAUCAAUACGGGAGUUAUUAUUCCAAACUGUAAAGUUUCAAGUUUCUUAUCCAGAAAUUCACCUUGCCUGUUCGUAAUUUGAUUCAACUCCCGUCAGAAAGAAAGCAAACGGGGCAAUUGCGCAAUUUGGAUCCAGUGGAGACGGGAUUCACAAUAGAAAACGAUUACUGGAUGGGUCAGCUUCAGCCUGUGAAUUUAGAUGUUUAGAAUUUUUACAUUUGAAAUAAAAAACUUCUAAAAAUGUAAAAAAUUCCAAGUCAACCGUUAUGUUUUCCAACUGUAACUGGAUUUUCCAAACUUUGGGGGGGGCGUUACGCCCCCCACGCCCCCUAUUAUUUACGUGCCUGGGGUUGCCCCCUUGCCCCCUCGCUACAAUACUGUGAAAACCUCCAGAAAAUGGUUAAAUGAAUGCAACUUUUCACAGUUGUCGUCCGACUCUUUCAAGAAAAGUUUUUUGAAUAGCAGAAAAAUACUUAGCGAGUUCCUAGAUAACUGUUGAUAUAAUGAGCAGGUAGUGCACCCACUAGCAUUAUCUCAUACAACAUUUACCCUGAAAAUGUCAAAAAACUCAGACUUUAUCACAACAAUGAUGUCGGGGUCUGCAAAUACAACUUUUGAGCUCACAGUUUACUCACGUGACUCCGUCUCAACGUGUCUUAUUCUCAAAACAAUAAAAAGCCCUUUUAAUGCAGUAUGAACAAUUGCGACUCAAACCGAGACAAAGAACGGAAGUCUUUUAAUUCAAAACCGAAAAGCUCAAAGGAAAUGACAGUGUACAUGGGAACAUAGCCUGUUUCUCUUCUCGAUAAUCACGAAACACGGCCUUGGCUGUAAACAGCGAUGUCUGACGAGGAAUUAUUCAUGUUUCUUGUGAAUGCCGUUCUAAUCUUGGAAAGACACAGACAGCUACGGCUUCGUAGACUUUGCUACAGUGCAUAUUUGAUGCAAACGCUUCGCAAUUUGCAGUUGCAGCGAGCAGCUUUACAAAACUUUGUCGGGCUUUAUCAAAGUCGCCAAGCCUGGGCAUUCAGCAGACAAAGUAGUGAAUUCCAAUCACAUUAUGACGCCGCAUUGAGGCUUGGGAGAAAUCAAGACCCUCAAUACUGGCUUUCUACUUUUCGCGUCAGCAAAGAAACUUUCGACUACUUGUGUGCCAUUGUUCAUGAUUACAUGGUUAAAGAGGAAUCCAACAUGCGCGAGACAAUUCCGGUACCAAAAAGGGUCGCUGUUUCCUUGCACUGGUUGGCACAUGGCGGCUCAUAUUGGAGUAACGGACAAAAGUUUGGUAUUUCUUCGUCUAUCGUUGGUCGAAUUACGAAAGACUUCAUCGCCGCCUUACUUAGCCUAAAGUAUAAUUAUAUAAUUUGGCCUAACAAAAGUGAUGAUUUUUUCGACUUAAUAUCAUCCUUCAAAGACAAAACCCCACUGCCAAACAUUUUUGGGGCAAUCGGAACGACUCAUGUACAAAUAAUUGCCCCUGAAAAUAAUACUUGCAGGUAUUUAGACAGAAAAUUGAACUAUAGCAUUGCUUGUCAAGGAAUUUGUGACGGAAAAAUGAAGUUUCUUAGUAUAUCGGCUGGCUUCCCAGGUUCCUUAAAAACAAAAGAGAUCAUCAAAAAUUCUCGGUUAUACUUGGAAGCAAGAAAAUGGAGCAUGUUUAGAGAGCCUGUUUUAGAACUGGGGAAAAACUUGGCUGUCAAGCCUUGCCUUGCAGGAGACGCAGCCUAUCCGGCAUUGGACUGGCUUUUGACCCCCUUUCCUGUCUCUGCGACUCUUGGUCCUGCGCAAGAGGCCUUCAACCAAGCACUAUCCAAAACAGCGAUACAAAUAAAGGGGGCGUUUGAGCUUCUUAAAGGGCGUUGGAGACUGUUGAAUGGGAAAGUCAAUCUGGAACCCUCCUUCGCCGCAGAUACAAUAAAUGCCUGCGCAGUUUUACACAAUAUCUGUCAGGAAAGAGACGAGCCCGGGGAAAUAGUUGUAGAUUCUUAUAUGGAAGUUGAUUGUAACGAUAUUGAAUGCGAAAUUGAAGGAAAAGAUAACUCAGAGGCAAGGGAUCUGCUUGUGAAAUGUUUAGAAAGCAUGGGAAAAAUCUGAUGUAAAGAACAAAGAGAUUUUACUGGAAGAUAAAAACAUUUAUCAACACACCAAUGCAACACUCUAGAUUUCAACGCCGCAAGAGUUAUGUUAGAGACAGUACAAGUGAGAACGUACCGGUAGCUUGAGGCGGCAUUUGGUGGGAAUGACCCCUCAUUCAACUCCACUAUCAAUUGUAUGAUAUUACGAUAAGAUAGCAUCUAUGUACGCGAAUCAAAAUAAGCAAGACGCUUUUUGCUGUUGAUAAGACGAGUAUAACGAAAUAGCAUCUGCUGGCCUCAACAGUAUGACUGCACCUGUGCAAGUCGAUAGCCAGCUUGCUCAUUGGGGAAAAACUUGUGGUAGUUAGAAAAUGUGCAUUACCUUCCACGAGCAAUGUUCGUUUCACUAUAAUUCUUCACCAGCCCCAAAUUACCCCCAUUGUUACUCUAAAUGUUACUCUAGAUCUAAGGUCGAAAAUUUGCACCCAAUUUGUGGAAAGCCUUGUCUAAUACUUGUGCCAGGUUGUGGGUCAGUUGGUAAAGCGCUUGACAACUGGACAUUUCAGAGUUCGAGCCCUCUCUACGCCAAAGCCAAAGAUCACCACCAGGCAGCAAAGCAAAAAUUGACGCUAAGAAAAGGGUACGGAGUACAGGAGAUUAUAGUCCACCCAAUGCACGAGAUUGUGAGCAAGUUAUCAACGAACAGGGCCUAUUCGUGGGAUUUCGAUAUAGCAUUGAUAAAACUGAACGAAAGCUUGCCAAAGCAAACGAAAGCUGAUGUCGUCGACAGUGAACGAACUAAUGUGACCGACUGCAAAUCAGCAGGUUGGGGAAGCUACAACGAAUUAGACUCCAUUUCAGAUGUUAGUAGAAAGAGUUACAAAAUAUCAGAAACAUUAAAAGAAAUACAAGUUCCUCUUAUACCUUGGAAAGCGUGUUACGACUUUCGUACGAAAAGCCAUGAGAAGUUUGCCCUUAUAAACUAUCAUGUUAUCUGCGGAGGAACAGUUGGUAUCGAGAAUGAGUAUCGAAAUGGAGGCUGUAUUGGUGACUCCGGCUCUCCUUUGCUGUGCAGCAGUACUAAGGGAAGAGUACUUUACGGCAUACUGUUAGGUGGAAACCCCUUCUGUAGGCAGGGUAUCGACUAUAUGAUAUUCACCAAGGUAGUACACUACAAAGCGUGGUUUUUGCGACAUAUAAAUGGAUAUCGCAAACAUUAAAAAUGUGGGACAUCUGGGAUAUCUUUCUGCUUACCACUUCAACCAUGGUUUUUCAAUAACUGUUCAAGUAAGAGUAGGGCCAGAAACUUUCUGACAAAGAGGCUCACUUGUCUAGUGGGAGAGGGUAAAAGGGGGAAGGGGCGAAAAUAUUCCUUUGAUAAAAGUUUUUGAACAGAGAUUGCAAAAUAAAGCUGCAAUUUUCUCUGAUGUGUCAGUUGACAUGCUCAGUAUUCCAAGGCACUUAAAGUGCAUUCAAGAUCUUUUAAACGAGUGGUUAAUAGAGUUCUCUAGUGUGACGUCACAAAAAGCUAUUUUUAGAAUUUUCGAAUUUUGAUCACAUAACACAAAAGAGCAUCAUAAAAUACUCCAAUUUAUGCAAAAUCAGUUAAAUUUGUCAAAAAUCGGGUGAGCCAUGGCCGAUAGAAUAUUUGAAGUUUGCCAACGGAUUACUGUUAUUUUGGCUCAGUUCCUAAAGUUAUCAAAUUACAGAGGUUUGAUUGGGCUAAAGAUUGUGCUCAUCAGGACAUAUUUCAGCCAAUUCGUGAUACCUUUAACUGAUUUUGCAGAUUAAGAGGUAUUUCAUGAUGCUCUUUCAGGUUAUGGGAAAAAAUUUCAAAAAUUUUCAAAAUAGACUUUUGUGACGUCAUCACUUGACAACUCUAUGAAGUAGCCUUGUUUUUCUUUCUUUUCUACCAGAACCCCCGCUUGAGAUGUUAAUACCAGGACCCCCUGAUUCAAAGCCCCGGUCAAACUUCUGAACACGUGUUAUGUUUGAGCUGAGUAAAAAGUUCAGUCGUUUGGCCAACUUGUUUAAUGUUGUUCAGCGCUGUAAAGUCUUCGGGUGGCAACAGUAGUUUCUAGGAUAGGAACUAGGAUUUGAAGGGGAUAGGGGGAAUAACAGUAUAGACAGUUUUAACAAGACUUAACGCACUUCUCACAGUUUAUGUUAAGUUAAUGAUCAACAUCUUUUGGUAGGUCGAAGAAAUGCAAGAAAUGAACCUAUCAUGAAUAUUUCCGAAUAUAACAUAUAACAUCAAAACACUUUUUGGUCCACAGUCCUCAGAACAUGAAACAUCGGUUCACUAUAAUGCACUAUUUUUUCGCUUUUUCUUGCUGCUUUACAUCUUUUCAUUUCGUUAGAUUUUUGGACUAUUUUAAACAGUCUAUUUCGAACACAUGGCAACUGUAUAGAGCCCAGCUUUCCUAUGAAGAAAAAUCAAGAAUUAAUAGCCAGAUGGAUGCAGUUUGUAACCAAUCUUUCCUGAGCCUCAAUAAACAUACAAAUUUUAAUAAUUGACACCUUAAACCACAGGCGAAGACACCAAUCCAACAAGUGAAUCCUACCUUUUUUUGAAAAAUUAUCUAUGUACUACAUUUUUGAUUAAGGACAAGAAUUUCAAUUAGUCCCGAAAUUUCUUCCCGGAGAAACAAAUAUAUUGCGGACAAUAAAUCUGGUUUCUAUCGUGUCCGCUAUUUAAAACUCUAAUAUUAUUCCUGAUUAUAUACCAUUCUACAAAGGAUUUCGCCUAUCUUAUGUACCAGGUUUAACAAACACUGGAUAAUCUUAACCGGGAAAAAAUUUAUUUCGGUCACAUUUCCAUGCUGAAAAGCUGGAGAUAAAAGGUAAAGAGCGUUAAAAAUCUUCUUGUUGAAACAAACAAUUUCUGUUUACAAUUUUUUAAAGUAUGUAUUCAAGCAUUUUAAUCUACUGUAAAAUGUAAUAAUGAAGUCCGAAUCAAGUAAUGCAAUUUAAUUUUUUGAGUUCUUUUAAAGCAAUCUUACAUGAAAGAAAGCAAUUGAAUGGUGUUUUACAGCAAAGAACAGUAUUCUUAUAGCAAAUAAAAGGAGAAAAGUACUGAAGCAUGGAUGUAGGAGUAGAGGCCUCUGGACCCCCAGGUUAUUCAGUAUUAAUAAAAAUCCACUUUUUCCGGAGAAAGUUUCUCUUUUGUAAGAAAAAAGUGUCCCUUUUUGUAAAGCCCCGGCCAAAUGACCCGAUUUUUCACUCGAUUUUUUAUUCAACAAGAAAUCGAGUAAAAAAUCAAGUCUUUUGGCCACCUUGUCGAGCGAGUCGAAUGGCGUUGAGUGAUGCCGAGCGAAGUUUGAUCUCUAUCAAAAAAGUCGAGUGACACAGGUGUUACCGAAUCGUUUGGCCACCUUGUCGAGUGAGCGCAUGCGCAUUUAUAUAUUCGAGAGCAAGGCCACCAAAAAGGGGCCGAAAAGCAUAUUACCGAGUGGCGUAGCGUGAGCGCAUAACUAAGGCAUACGGUAACAUAAAAUAUACGGCUAUGUUGAAUGAAUGUAAUCGUAAUUUUAAGCUUUUUAAAAAUACAAGCGGUAAUUAAUGAUAAUCGUGAUAACAAAUUUUGAUUUUAAAGUAACGAAAUGUUUGUACUCUAAUUCUAAUCAAUCAAGGUGUCUAUUCUCUGCAUCAGAGGCUCCGACACAGGUUAGAAAGUGGAGGGGGGCCAAGGGAAAAAUCAUCACCCAUGCGAAAAGUUUUUGAAAAAAGCUCAAUUGUUUUACAAAACUUUUCAGAAUAGCUCCUAGUGCUAAAACCGUUUCUUAAAAGAUCUCAUUCUUACUCAUAUUCCUCAAGAAAAAGCAUCACCUAAUGCCCACCAAAUGUAAGAAUCUUUUAUGCUAUAAUGCAGCAGAGGAUUCCCGCAAUGAGUAGCUCUCCACAUUGCGAAAUUGUUAACACACUGCAGAGCCUAGGCGCAGGGGCGAAACUGCUAGGGGGGUAUGGGGGGGGGGAUGCUGCACUCCCCAAUCUUCAAAAAAGCAGAUUUUGUCGGGCAAAUUUAUGGCUGCCAGUGUAUCUGUCGGGUAAAUAUGGAAAUUUUCUUUUGGUCGCACUUUUAUUGCCACUUUUUGCCCUAGCUUGGUUUUUUGAAUUUAUGGUCUUUCCCCCAUCUUUUUUUCAAUCUUCGCCCAGUUGGGAAAACAAAACAGAAACGAGGCAAGCACCUGCAACAUAUAUACAUUUCUGUCUUUCGUCCACCGAUCAGCGCUUUCGUCUCGAGCUCGACGCGCACAUGUUUAUCUUCGCCUCGAGAUGAAGUCUGAAGUAUUGAUCGACAGCAAAAGUAUAGACGGAAAGUAAAGUGUGUUUGAUGCAAGAAGGAAAUGAACACUGGACAUGCCCCCCUACCUUUUGCAAAACAAGAGAGCUUUUUUCAAAAUCUUUUGUUGUGAUUUCUAAAUUUUCCCUUGACAAGCCCCCCCCCAACUUCCAUCCUGCCUCGAAGCCCAUGGAACACUGACAAUUUUAAAGCAUUAUAAAUCAAAACAUGAAGGAUAUACCAUCUCGGAAUACGUUGUUGAGAAAAAUCAAGUAAUACUUUUUUAUCUAAAUGUAUGAAACUUUCAUCAAACAUUCAUAAAAAGUUUACCCUGGGUACCAGACUCAUUAUAUAAAGAAAUAGUGAGUCUGAUGCCCAGGGAAUAAGAAGUUAUGCCCUGAAAUUAUCUUAAGGUUUUACACUUACUGUCCGAAAGUAUUGCACCAUUCGCUAGAAAAUGGCUGUACAGCCGCCAAAGUCUUUUAACUAAAAAAUUCAAAUAACCGUAACAAGUGACAGAAGUUUUUAAUCAGUUCGAGCGGGAAAUAAUAGAAAAUUUUUCAACGAAUUGUAAUUGAGAUAUGAACUGCAAAAACUUUGAACUGAUUAAAAUCGAGUUUCUUCAAUUUCUGAACAAUAUCUAUGGUUACGAGAACACGACAAUUGAGCUUUGAUAAUAGGUGUACCUGUAAGAUACUUCCAAUAGGAAAACUUUUCUUUGCUUGAGGGAUUUUGUUAUGGUGAAUUCAGAGAUACUUAUUCAGUGCUUGGGUGUCUAAAAAUGUUGAAAUUCCGUCCAGAGCAACCGAAAGUUGAAAACCAAACAAAAAAAUACAACUGAAGCUCUUUUCUGUUGAAACAUUGUAGUCUGCGUACCUGUUACUAAACUCCGAAAUUUUCAAGAGGUGUUUUCUUGUUCCACUUUGACAAAAUUGAGGCCCUACUCAGUCUCUUUUUUGAAUUGCUCUCUUAAUAGCUAGGUGAUUUAGAAAGUGAAGACUAUAUUUCUUUUAUAGAAAAGACAGGCCUUACAAAUGCUUGCUUUUCGGAAACAAAUGUUUUUUAGCCAACACCAGAAAAACUAGAGGCAUAUUUCUUGACUUUAAACAAACAGCGUGUGUCUAAAGACCCUCUCUCGGGGUCCCCGAUGAUUUAAGCCCUUGAGGCGAUGUGCCCUAAAAAUGAAGUUCAUACAUGACACGCCCUUUCAUCAAGCAUGACACGCCCUUUCGU